rnacentral:rRNA from 1 species
ACGGAGGGUGCGAGCGUUAAUCGGAAUUACUGGGCGUAAAGCGCACGUAGGCGGUGUCGUAAGUCGGAUGUGAAAGCCCUCGGCUCAACCGGGGAACUGCAUUCGAUACUGCGAUGCUUGAGUGCCGUAGAGGGUGGCGGAAUUCCAGGUGUAGGGGUGAAAUCCUUAGAUAUCUGGAGGAACACCAGUGGCGAAGGCAGCCUCCUGGCCCACAACUGACGCUGAGGUGCGAAAGCGUGGGGAUCAAACAG